rnacentral:rRNA from 1 species
AACGAACGCUGGCGGCAUGCCUAACACAUGCAAGUCGAACGAUACCUUCGGGGAUAGUGGCGCACGGGUGCGUAACGCGUGGGAACCUGCCCUUAGGCUCGGAAUAACUCAGAGAAAUUUGAGCUAAUACCGGAUAAUGUCUUCGGACCAAAGAUUUAUCGCCUUUGGAUGGGCCCGCGUUGGAUUAGCUAGUUGGUGGGGUAAAGGCCUACCAAGGCGACGAUCCAUAGCUGGUCUGAGAGGAUGAUCAGCCACACUGGGACUGAGACACGGCCCAGACUCCUACGGGAGGCAGCAGUGGGGAAUAUUGGACAGUGGGCGGAAGCCUGAUCCAGCAAUGCCGCGUGAGUGAUGAAGGCCGUAGGGUUGUAAAGCUCUUUUACCCGGGAUGAUAAUGACAGUACCGGGAGAAUAAGCCCCGGCUAACUACGUG